rnacentral:rRNA from 1 species
UACGGAGGGUGCAAGCGUUAUCCGGAAUCAUUGGGUUUAAAGGGUCCGCAGGCGGUCAAAUAAGUCAGAGGUGAAAUCCCAUCGCUUAACGAUGGAACUGCCUUUGAUACUGUUUGCCUUGAGUUGUACGGAAGUAGAUAGAAUGUGUAGUGUAGCGGUGAAAUGCAUAGAUAUUACACAGAAUACCGAUUGCGAAGGCAGUCUACUACGUAUAUACUGACGCUCAUGGACGAAAGCGUGGGGAGCGAACAGG